rnacentral:rRNA from 1 species
UCAUCCUACGGGGCGCAGCAGUGGGGAAUAUUGGGCAAUGGGCGCAAGCCUGACCCAGCAACGCCGCGUGAAGGAAGAAGGCUUUCGGGUUGUAAACUUCUUUUGACAGGGAAGAGCAGAAGACGGUACCUGUCGAAUAAGCCACGGCUAACUACGUGCCAGCAGCCGCGGUAAUACGUAGGUGGCAAGCGUUGUCCGGAUUUACUGGGUGUAAAGGGAGCGUAGGCGGCCAUGCAAGUCAGAAGUGAAAACCCGGGGCUCAACCCUGGGAGUGC